AGAUGAAAUGCUACGUGUUAGGGGUUUCGAUACCCUUGGUGCCGAAGUUAACACAUUAAGCAUUCCGCCUGGGGAGUACGGUCGCAAGACUGAAACUCAAAGGAAUUGACGGGGACCCGCACAAGCAGUGGAGUAUGUGGUUUAAUUCGAAGCAACGCGAAGAACCUUACCAGGUCUUGACAUCCCUCUGACCGUCCUAGAGAUAGGGCUUCCCUUCGGGGCAGAGGUGACAGGUGGUGCAUGGUUGUCGUCAGCUCGUGUCGUGAGAUGUUGGGUUAAGUCCCGCAACGAGCGCAACCCUUGACUUUAGUUGCCAGCACUGAGUUGGGCACUCUAGAGUGACUGCCGGUGACAAACCGGAAGAAAGUGGGGAUGACAUCAAAUCAUCAUGCCCCUUAUGACCUGGGCUACACACGUACUACAAUGGGUGGGACAACGGGAAGCGAAACCCCGAGGUGGAACGAAUCCUAAAAAGCCACUCUCACUUCUGAUAGCGGGCGGCGACUCUCCUGCAUGAAAUCUGAAUUGCUAGUAAUCUCGGAUAACCAUGCCGCGCUGAAUACAUUCCCGGGUCUUGUGCACACCGCCCGUCACACCACGAGAGUUUACAACACCCGAAAUCUGUGGGGUAACCGCAUGGAGCCAGCCGCCCAAAGUGGGGUAGAUGAUUGGGGUGAAGUCCACAGGGG
rnacentral:rRNA from 1 species